GAGUUUGAUCGUGGCUCAGAUUGAACGCUGGCGGCAGGCCUAACACAUGCAAGUCGAGCGGUAGAGAGAAGCUUGCUUCUCUUGAGAGCGGCGGACGGGUGAGUAAUGCCUAGGAAUCUGCCUGGUAGUGGGGGAUAACGCUCGGAAACGGACGCUAAUACCGCAUACGUCCUACGGGAGAAAGCAGGGGACCUUCGGGCCUUGCGCUAUCAGAUGAGCCUAGGUCGGAUUAGCUAGUUGGUGAGGUAAUGGCUCACCAAGGCGACGAUCCGUAACUGGUCUGAGAGGAUGAUCAGUCACACUGGAACUGAGACACGGUCCAGACUCCUACGGGAGGCAGCAGUGGGGAAUAUUGGACAAUGGGCGAAAGCCUGAUCCAGCCAUGCCGCGUGUGUGAAGAAGGUCUUCGGAUUGUAAAGCACUUUAAGUUGGGAGGAAGGGCAGUAAAUUAAUACUUUGCUGUUUUGACGUUACCGACAGAAUAAGCACCGGCUAACUCUGUGCCAGCA
rnacentral:rRNA from 1 species